GACUUGGAGAACUUUUGUGUCUAGCCAAAGGUUUGUAAAGGCACCAAUCAGUACCCUGUCAAAAUGGACCAAUCAGCGCUCUGUAAAAUGGACCAAUCAGCGCUCUGUAAAAUGGACCAAUCAGCAGGAUGUGGGUGGGGUCGGAUUAGGGAAUAAAUGCGGGCUGCCGGAACCAGCUGUGGCAACCCAGUGGGGUCUUGUUCCACAGUGUGGAAGCUGUGAUUUUUUUGGCUCUUUGCCAUGAAUCUUCCUGCUGGUCACUCUUUGGGUCCCCACUGCCCUUAUUAGCUGUAACACUCACCGGGAAGGUCUGCAGGUUCACUCCUGAGGCCAGCGAGACCAGAAACCCACCAGGAACCCACCAGAAGGAAGAAACUCUGAAUAUGUCCGAACAUCAGAAGGAACAAAUUCUGGACACACCAUCUCUGAGACCCGUAACACUCACCGCGAAGGUCCGCGGCUUCAUUCUUGAAGUCAGUGAGACCAAGAACCCACCAAUUCCAGACACAAUGGGAGUGUUUCUCAUGGUCUAGCACCAUCCCCCUAGUGCUGUCUUGUGAUAGAAUUCCCGCGAGAUCUGGUUGUUUAAAAGUGUGUGACACCUUCCUCUUCGCUCUCUUCCUCCUGCUCCUGCCAGGGCCUUAAGCAAAAGCAAAGAUCAGCAACUGAAUAGAACAGAAAAGAGGAAAAACCCAGAAAUCCUGGGAGAAGCCCAGUGACCAUCCCUGAUGCCCCUAAAUUCUCCCAGAGCAAUGAGAGCUGCCCUGCUGCAGGCAAAGCAUGUGACACCCAGCAGCCCAACAGGAAGCCCACCAGAUUACUCCCUACUCCACGGACCUCCUUUGAUGACAGGCAGCUUCAGAAUUCCUCAGCUCGUGUGCGCUCCUGACAUGAUCAACCACACCAUGCUGAGAGGUGAGCAUGGCAAAAUAGUUUUUCUUAGACCCCUGGCCCUAUCAAGAGCUGAGGAUGAAGCUCCCACUGAAGCUCUGACUCCAGCUUGGCCCCUCAUCCCCAGCUUCCUUGUCCUGAGCUGAUUGACAACUUCCCUGCCUUUUCUGUUCCUCCUCUCCCUGCCUUCCUGGGACUGGACCUGGAGUUCCUUCUGUGAGAGACAUUGGUGGAAUCUACAGUCAUCUCUGCAGGGUCCCAGCUGAACACCCGCCUAUCUGUUUGCCGAUGCUGGUCAAGCGUAAGGCUUGCUCCAAUAAAUUGAGUAAGAAAUGAAAAUCUUCAAGCCAUGACAAUUCAGCUCUGUGCCAGCAAAGGAGACUCCAGGCUCUGGAAAAUCCUGAGGUCCUGCCUUCCUGUGAAAUAACUUUUCUUCUGAAAAAGAAUAACCUUUGAGAAACUGUGUGAUUCAUGUUCUCAACAAGAUUCAAGCAAACAUCACAGUUAAUUCCAAGAAUCCUCUCUCGAAUGUCAACAUAUGAAACAAAGAACCCUGGUGUGAAAUGGGAAGCCCAGUUGCUGAACACAAAACAUCAGUGGUCACUCUGGAAUGUGAACCUGGACUUCCUCCAUCCAUGAUGCACAACCUCGAGGCUGGUUUUAUGAGCUGCAUGUGACAGUUUACAAUCUGGUUACUUAACCAUAAUACAUAGUCUGCAGAUCCCUUCCUUUUUGGAAGGAGAUCCUGUGUGGAGAACUGAGAACUCUGAGCUCUGUCCCCAGUGAGCAAGAAACUUGUCUAUGGUUUUUCCGAAAUGCAACCCAUUGUCUCCCAGGCCCCACCACUCAAUAACAAGUGGUUCUCCCAGGAACAUUGCAAAUAUGCAGCUAUAUUCUUUCAGUUGGUUCUUUCCUUGUCUGUUUUCUUUCUGACCAACUAGAAUGUAAGCUCCCGAGGGCAGGCACUCGUCUGUCCAGUUCACUCCAUGUUGCCCACAUGAAGCAUCUGCACAUAGUAGAGGCUCGAUUAGGAAGUCGUGGAUGAGGAAACUGGAUGUCACUUCUGCCCGUGUCUUGUCCAUGAGCAUUACUCAGGUGGGGUGACAACUCUCUUUCCAAAUCACAUUGCCCUUGACAUUCACUAAAAUUGGCUUUUCAGCACCCAUCUGGAUGGGGAAGGAGAAAGGGAUGAGGCAGUAGAAUUUACAAACAUGUGUUUAUGGGUCGGAAGGGAACUAACAACAAAAUCUGUAUCCCCAAGGGACGGUCCGGUCUGGAAAGGGAGAGGGGCCUGUCAGUGCAGCGGAGGAGAGGCACCAACACCUCCUCCUACCUCCCAUUCCCUCUGCACACUGGACAAUCAUGUCCUGCAGUGAGAAAAGCCAAUUGUUUCAGUCAAGGCUUCCAGUCUUAUUCUUGGCAUACAAACAUGUGAAAAUAGACGUGUCAGUCAUUUUCACGACUGCCAGGGUGGCUGCCAAGUAAACCAGCAGGAGCAGGAGUAGAAGCUGACGUGGGAACCGUGCACCUGCUAUUUUCCCAUUAAUAUGUUGCUGUUUGGGGGCUACAAUUCUGCCAGCUUGUCGGAAGAUUUUAUCUGUUUAUAAUGCAUGAAUUCUGUGUUUUUAUGACUGUUCAGAAAAAAAAAAAAACAGAAGAGCCCCCCUAGGUUAUAUUACCUUGGCAUUCUUUUGAAAGUUCAUCUGCAUUAGGAAGGGUGGAUGGUAAAGAUGAUGACUAUUUUGGCUGUCCAGAUCUGCUCACAUCGUUCUUCCCCAGACUCACCCAGCCUGAGCGUCAUCCUCUUCUCCUCCUCUCAGUAUUUGAAUACCUAAAAAUAUGGCCGGGCACAGUGGCUCACGCCUGUAAUCCCAACACUUUGGGAGGCCGAGGUAGGUGGGUCACAAGGUCAGGAGUUCAAGACCAGCCUGGCCAAGAUGGUGAAACCCCAUCUCUACUAAAAAUACAAAAAUUAGCCGGGCAUGGUGGCAGGCGCCGGUAAUCCCAGCUACUCGGCAGGCUGAGGCAGGAGAAUCACUUGAACCCGGGCGGCAGAGGUUGCAGUGGGCAGAGAUCAUGCCACUGCAUUCCAGCCUGGGUGACAGAGUGAGACUGCAUCUCAAAAAUAAAUAAAUAAAUGAAAAUACUAGGGGGAUUCAGUAUUAUCCCUAUUUUACAGAUGAGAAAACUGAGGCCCAGCAAGGUUAAGUGACUUGCUCAGUGUUCUGUGGCCUGAAAGUGGUGGGGUUAGGGUUAGAAACCAGACGGCUUGUUCCACAGCCCUGUGCUGUUGUUAAUGGCUAUGCCUUGCUGAGAUUAGUGUAUAUGCCAGAUCAAUCAUUCAGAGAUGGGUUUUAGGAAAACAACAAACAAACCGAAACAGGAUGCCCAGUAAAAUUUGAAUUUUACAUAAAUAACAAUAUUUUUUAGUAUAAGCAUAUCCCGUGGGAUAUUUGGGACAUACUUUCACUUAAAAAUUUGUGUUGCUUAUCUGAAAUUCAAAUUUAACUGGGCAUAUUGUAUUUGAUUUGUCAGCCUAGCAUUGGUAGUAGAUGACUAGUUUGGAGAUCCAGGAAUCUGGGAGUUGGGGUGACCUGGGGAUGAGAGAUGGAUGUCAGUCAAGACAGGCAGGUUGGUAGAAGCAGCUUGGAGCGUCUUCUCAUCUUGACCACCAGUCUGACUUCCUAGAAGAGAUGCUGAUGGGACUCCAGGGGAAGUGUUUGUGCCCUCUGCAUGCAUUCCCAUGUGCGCACACACACACACACACACCAUAUACACACCCCUGGCUCUCUACCUAGAAUGUCCGACUCAUCAGGAGCAAGUUGCAUGCCCUGGUGAAGCUUAGUGCCUCUGCUGUGCAGGUGGGAGGGAAAGGCAACUUAGGAGCUUUAGAGCACUCCAGGCAGGCUGUAGGCCCCAUCUCCUAAGAGCCUAUGCUUUUAUUUUUGUUUUUGUUAAAGACAAGGUCUCACUCUAUUGCCAAGACUGGAGUGCAAUGGUGUGAUCAUAGCUCUUUGAAGUCUCAAACUCCUAGGCUUAAGAGAUCCUCCCACUCAGCCUCCCGAGUAGCUGGGACUACAGCCAUCAGCCAUGUGCCACCAUGCUCAGCUAAGGUUUUUUUUUUUUUUUUUUUUUAAGAGAGACAGGGGUCUUGCUAUGUUGCCCAGGCUGGUCUUGAUCUCCUGGGCUUAAACAGUCCUCCCAUCUCAGCUUCCCGAGUAGCUGAGGAUUAUAGGUGUGCACCACCGUGCCUGUGAGCCCAUGCUUUUGAAUGAGAGGGUGCUAGUGGGCUAUUGUGUGGCACAGCCAAGCUUCCUUUCCAGGCAUUAUUUGUCUCUGGAUGUGAAGCAUUUCCUAGCAAUCAGUGAUGUGUUCUGUGUAGUCCUGUCCACACUGCAUUUGCAAAAAUCCCUCAUGGAUGCUGGGAUGUGGUUAAUUUCUGGUUUCACUUUGUAAUGAAGAUGCACAUGUUUUCUGUUUUAUGUUUUGGAGGUACAUGUGUCUAUGAACAUAGAGACAGAUGUGGACAUAUAGAUUGAUAGUCGCUUUGAAGACAAUUUGAGGUGGUUUAUGCUGUGGUUGUUUACAUGAGAACAAUGGGGAGGGAGAAGGAACCCCAUGCUCCCUUGAGGUCCUUCUACCUGUCUCAGAAACCCCACAUCUCAGAUCCUCAACCAGAUUGUAAGAUCCUCAAACACAGGACAGGUUUUACUUACCUAGUGCUUCCCAGAGAUGCCCAGUAGAGAGCCUUCUGCAUCUUUCUGUAUUUUUCCAUUAGCUGAUUUGGUAAACCUGAUGAAGCAAAUACUGUUUGGUUGAAACAAUUUACAUUGCUCUAGGCAACGCUAUUCCUCAGCCAAAUGAAUUAGAUGAUUAAUAAGUAUAACACGUAAUUGAAUUCAAAGUCCACGUUUGCCAUCCCCUAAGCAGAGGAGGUUUCGUUGUAUAUUGUUAUUGAUGGAAAGAAACUGAGGUACUUUGGCUAAACAAAAGAGGGUACAGAUGGCAUUGUGCUUCAACUACACAAAAGGAGCCUGCUUAUAUACAUGCUUGCUGCAUGCCAAUUUCUGCUCUCUGGUAUUUUAGUGGAGAAAGGAGAUUUCUUUAAAGACACUAAAGUAAGUAUCAACAAAGAAGUGAUUUAUCUUUAUAUCAGAAUUUUGGCUUGGAGCACAAUCAGGAUUUUGGGUCUGUUUGGGGCUAAGUAGAAAUAUAUGUGAGACCAAAAUAGGUUUUUCCUGAACCUUCAAAACUAUACACAGUGAAAGAAAUAUUAGCUUCAAAAAUCAAAGUGAUUGGAUUUUCUAGAAUCUGUAUGAUAUGAUGAGAAAAUGUAUGCAAUAUACAUAAACCAGAAUAGCCUUCCUUAUUCAAUGUUAACACUUUUUAUAAGAAAGUAUUAGACCUAUUGAUUUAGCAACUACAUAAUUAUUGGUACUUGAAAUACAGGCUUAUAGAAACGAAGAAGUCAGAGUCACUCAUUCAAAAUGUAAGCAUAAAUAUGACUUCCAUUAGCAAUACCGGAUUCCUGGAUAGAAUGGCCCAGUCUAGUCAUCCCAGCAGGUCAAAGUGGCAAACCAGGUCAACACCAGAAGAGGCCCUUACAAAUCCAAACAGAAACUUCUUUCUAAACCAAAUCAUUUGGAAAACACCUGAGCAAUCCAUGAAGUUUUUUACUGAGGUGCAGACAUUCCAAAAGCUAAGCAAAUAUUCAUGUAAUGAGUGCCCCAAGACCAUCAGCCGUGGACCUGUCGUUACUUCAAACAAGUCAGGAUUUCAGCCAGGUCAAGGUUGAAGAAGAAUAAUUUUGGUCUAAGCACCUGGCAUUUGCUCUUAGGUGUGGUCAAACUAUAUAUAGGUGGAUGCCGCCAGUCUUUAGUUGAAUUGGGCAAAGAACUCUGAGUUCAGUAGGGGUGUGUGUGUCUGUGUGUGUGUGUGUGCAUUUGAAAUCUUUUUCAUCUUUAAUGAAAUCUAUUUUUUAAAUGUCCUUCUUGUCUAAGUGCAACUAAGAGAGAGACUGCCCAUACUAAGAGAUUGGGGUGUUUGCUCAGGGCAGGGGUACAAGGCACACCUAUUCCUCACCCAGUGCAAGCUGGGGGGAUGGAGGAAUUAGAUGACUCCUGAGUUCGCUGCUCUAACCAGAGAGGGAAGGGGCAAGCCUGCAUUCUUGUCAAGGUGAGGAUAAUUCUGGCCUCAUGUGACCCAGCUUUGCUGAUCCUACCAGGUGAGCAUUCCUGAAAUAACUGCUAUCCUCGUGGAGUCCUGUUCCUGGUCCUGUCUACUCAAGAGAUUGUGGGUGUCGCCUGCCUUGAGUUGGCCACCCUCAUGGGCUUCUUUGUUACUGGCAAUCAAAGUCCUGAUAACCUUGAUGUGAUACCCCUGCAUUCAUCCCAGGUAAAAUUCUAAUGAAAAGCCACUUCUCUCAGAUCAUCAUGUGGGAUGGUAGAUUUCACCUGUUGACAGAUACCUAGGGAUAGAUAUGGACUUGGAAGUCAGGAGGACCUGGGUUCAAAUCCCUACUCAUCCACUUGUGGGCAAGAGAGCCUGGAAAAUUUACUUACUCUAAAAACCUGUUUCAUUGUCUAUAAAGAUGCAGAUAAUAACAAUGACAAUAGAAUUUUAUAUGGACUGAAUGAGCUAAUCCAAUGUAAAUGUGUAACACUGGGUCUGAUUUGGUAAAAAAGCACCAUUUUAUAAACAUAGAGAGCAAUUCAGGAUGAGGAAAGGCAACAGAGUUCUAUUACCUUUCAGGUCUCAGUUCAUGUCAAUAUCAAUUUUGAAAUGUCAUUCAACAAAACAAGUAUAUAGUGAGUUCUUAUUAGGUGUCAGGCACAAAUUCCAGGAGUUGGGUAAGACAGUCAGUGUCCCUACCCUCAGGAAGCUUACAUUUUAAUAAAGAAAGAAAGGAAAGAAGGGAGACAGGGAGGGAGGGAAAGAAAAAAUAAAAUGUAAUUGAUGUAGCAGUACAAACCCUCAGGCAUUAUGAUAGGGGUGACUUUUGCAAAUCCCCCCGAUAUGGUUUGGCUGUGUCCCCACCCAAAUUUAUCUUGUAUCGUAGCUCCCAUAAUUUCCACGUGCUGUGAGAGGAACCUGGUGGGAGGUAAUUGAAUCAUGGGAGCAGUUUCCCCCAUGCUGUUCUCAUGGUAGUGAGUAAGUCUCACAGAUCUGAUGGUUUUAUAAAGGGAAACCCCUUUUGCUUGGCUCUUAUUCUCUAUUUGCCGGUCACCAUGUAAGAUAGCCUCUUGCUCCUUUUUCGUUUUCUGCCAUAAUUGUGAGGCCUCCUCAGCCAUGUGGAACUGUGAGUCAAUUAAACCUCUUUCCUUUGUAAAUUAUCCAGUCUUGGGUGUGUCUUUAUCAGCAGCGUGAAAACGGACUAGUAUACCCCCUAACCCUAACCCUAACCAAACAACUUUGAUUUUGU
rnacentral:lncRNA from 10 species